rnacentral:rRNA from 1 species
UACGAAGGGUGCAAACGUUGCUCGGAAUUAUUGGGCGUAAAGCGCACGUAGGCGGCUCCAAAAAGUCGGAUGUGAAAUCUCUCGGCUCAACCAAGGAAGUGCACCCGAAACUGCGGAGCUUGAGUAUGGAAGAGGGUCGCGGAAUUCCCGGUGUAGAGGUGAAAUUCGUAGAUAUCGGGGAGGAACACCAGUGGCGAAGGCGGCGACCUGGGCCAAUACUGACGCUGAGGUGCGAAAAGCGUGGGGGAGCAAACAGG